rnacentral:rRNA from 1 species
CCCUUAGAUGUUCUGGGCCGCACGCGUGCUACACUGAGUGGAUCAGCGGGUCAGGUUGCGCGAAAGUGUUUCCUAAUCUUUAAAUCCGCUCGUGAUGGGGAUUGACGGUUGCAAUUUUCCGUCAUGAACGAGGAAUACCUUGUAAGCGCGGGUCAACAUCCCGCGCUGAAUACGUCCCUGCCCUUUGUACACACCGCCCGUCGCUCCUACCGAUUGAGUGGUCCGGUGAGGCUUUGGGAUCUGGGCGGAAAGAGCGUUUCGCUGUUUCUGCCCGGAAAACUCAGUCGAACCUUAUCAUUUAGAGGAAGGAGAAGUCGUAACA